rnacentral:rRNA from 1 species
UAACUUUGAGCGGUGGAUCACUCGGCUCGUGCAUCGA